rnacentral:rRNA from 1 species
UACGGAGGAUGCAAGCGUUAUCCGGAUUUAUUGGGCGUAAAGCGUCCGCAGGUGGUUUUUCAAGUCUGCUGUUAAAGCGCGAGGCUUAACUUCGUACAGGCAGUGGAAACUGAACGACUAGAGUAUGGUAGGGGUAGCGGGAAUUCCCAGUGUAGCGGUGAAAUGCGUAGAUAUUGGGAAGAACACCAGCGGCGAAAGCGCGCUACUGGGCCAUUACUGACACUCAUGGACGAAAGCUAGGGGAGCGAAAGGG